rnacentral:rRNA from 1 species
CAGCCGCCGCGGUAAUACAGAGGUCUCAAGCGUUGUUCGGAAUCACUGGGCGUAAAGGGUGCGUAGGUGGCGUGGUAAGUCAGAUGUGAAAGCCCGGGGCUCAACCUCGGAACAGCAUCCGAUACUGCCGUGCUAGAGUACUGAAGAGGUGACUAGAAUUCUCGGUGUAGCAGUGAAAUGCGUAGAUAUCGAGAGGAAUACCAAAGGCGAAGGCAGGUCACUGGGCAGUUACUGACACUGAGGCACGAAGGCCAGGGGAGCAAACGGGAUUAGAUACCCGCGUAGUCCCUGUCUCUUAUAC